rnacentral:rRNA from 1 species
GACGAACGCUGGCGGCGUGCUUAACACAUGCAAGUCGAACGGAAAGGCCCUGCUUUUGUGGGGUGCUCGAGUGGCGAACGGGUGAGUAACACGUGAGUAACCUGCCCUUGACUUUGGGAUAACUUCAGGAAACUGGGGCUAACACCGGAUAGGAGCUCCUGCUGCAUGGUGGGGGUUGGAAAGUUUCGGCGGUUGGGGAUGGACUCGCGGCUUAUCAGCUUGUUGGUGGGGUAGUGGCUUACCAAGGCUUUGACGGGUAGCCGGCCUGAGAGGGUGACCGGCCACAUUGGGACUGAGAUACGGCCCAGACUCCUACGGGAGGCAGCAGUGGGGAAUAUUGCACAAUGGGCGGAAGCCUGAUGCAGCAACACCGCGUGCGGGAUGACGGCCUUCGGGUUGUAAACCGCUUUCGCCUGUGACGAAGCGUGAGUGACGGUAAUGGGUAAAGAAGCACCGGCUAACUACGUG